rnacentral:rRNA from 1 species
UGGAGGAAAGCAGGGGAUCGUAAGACCUUGCGCUUUUGGAGCGGCCGAUGUCUGAUUAGCUAGUUGGUGGGGUAAUGGCCUACCAAAGCUUCGAUCAGUAGCUGGUCUGAGAGGACGGCCAGCCACACUGGGACUGAGACACGGCCCAGACUCCUACGGGAGGCAGCAGUGGGGAAUUUUGGACAAUGGGCGCAAGCCUGAUCCAGCCAUGCCGCGUGAGUGAAGAAGGCCUUCGGGUUGCAAAGCUCUUUCAGCCGGGAAGAAAAGGCUGCGAUUAAUAAUCGCAGUUCAUGACGGUACCGGAAGAAGAAGCACCGGCUAACUACGUGCCAGCAGCCGCGGUAAUACGUAGGGUGCGAGCGUUAAUCGGAAUUACUGGGCGUAAAGGGUGCGCAGGCGGUUUUGUAAGUCAGAUGUGA